rnacentral:rRNA from 2 species
GAUGAACGCUAGCGGCAGGCUUAACACAUGCAAGUCGAGGGACCGGCGAAAGGGUGCGUAACGCGUGAGUAACAUACCCGUUACAGAGGGAUAGUCGAUGGAAACGUCGUAUAAUACCUCAUAGUUAAAUGAGGUAACGGAGUGGCUCGCGUCCCAUUAGUUAGUUGGCGUGGUAACGGCACACCAAGACAACGAUGGGUAGGGGUUCUGAGAGGAAGGUCCCCCACACUGGAACUGAGACACGGUCCAGACUCCUACGGGAGGCAGCAGUGAGGAAUAUUGGUCAAUGGGCGGAAGCCUGAACCAGCCAUGCCGCGUGCAGGAAUAGAUCCUAUGGGACAUAAACUGCUUUUGAUACUGAGCAUGAGAGUAAGUAUCGAAUAAGCAUCGGCUAACUCCGUGCCAGCAGCCGCGGUAAUACGGGGGAUGCAAGCGUUAUCCGGAAUUAUUGGGUUUAAAGGGUGCGUAGGCUGUGCGGUGCGUCUGUGGUUAAAGGCCUCUGCUUAACGGAGCGUAUGCCAUAGAAACGGCCGUGCUUGAGAGUGAUUGCCGUGGGAGGAAUGUGUGGUGUAGCGGUGAAAUGCAUAGAUAUCACACAGAACACCGAUUGCGAAGGCAUCUCACGAAGUCAUCUGACGCUGAAGCACGAAAGCGUGGGAAUCAAACAGGAUUAGAUACCCUGGUAGUCCACGCUGUAAACGAUGAUAACUAACCGCCGGCGAUCGGUGGCUAAGCGAAAGCGAUAAGUUAUCCACCUGGGGAGUACGACCGCAAGGUUGAAACUCAAAGGAAUUGACGGGGGCCCGCACAAGCGGAGGAACAUGUGGUUUAAUUCGAUGAUACGCGAGGAACCUUACCCGGGCUCGAACGGUCGAGGUGCUGCAUGGUUGUCGUCAGCUCGUGCCGUGAGGUGUCGGCUUAAGUGCCAUAACGAGCGCAACCCUUGCCUGCUGUUACCAACGUACGGGGACUCAGCAGGGACUGCCACCGUAAGGUGGAGGAAGGGGGGGAUGACGUCAAAUCAGCACGGCCCUUACGUCCGGGGCGACACACGUGUCACAAUGGCGGUCAGAGAGUUGCUUGACAGUGAUGUUUGGCUAAUCUAUACCGUCUCAGUUCGGAUGGAGUCUGCAACCCGACUCCAGAAGCUGGAUUCGCUAGUAAUCGCGCAUCAGCCAUGGCGCGGUGAAUACGUUCCCGGGCCUUGUACACACCGCCCGUCAAGCCAUGGAAGUCAUUGGCGCCUGAAGCUUGUCCGAGCGAGCGAAGGCGAAAAUGGUAACUGGGGC